ensembl:lncRNA LACTB2-AS1 LACTB2 antisense RNA 1
GUCACUUCUACAAGUGACUAACACCGUCAGGAUAAUCUAAAACUACGAAUACUACCUGACUCCACAAGGGUACGGUGUAUUCUCCAGUUUUAGCAUCUGCCUUAAAAAUUACCUCAGAGUUAAGCACUGCUGGGGACUUAUUUCUACUCUUGUUUUCCUUCUAACAGGUCCCUCAGCUGUAGGUCUGUUGGAGUUUGCUGGAGGUCCACUCCAGAUGCUGUUUGCCUGGGUAUCAGCAGUGGAGGCUGCAGAACAGCAAAUAUUGCAGAACAGUAAAUAUUGCUGCCUGAUCCUUCCCUCUGGAAGCUUCGUCCCAGAAGGCCACCUGCCUAUAUGAGUUCUAGAUCCCUGAGGAAUCGCCACACUGACUUCCACAAUGGUUGAACUAGUUUACAGUCCCAGCAACAGUGUAAAAGUGUUCCUAUUUCUCCACAUCCUCUCCAGCACCUGUUGUUUCCUGACUUUUUAAUGAUCGCCAUUCUAACUGGUGUGAGAUGGUAUCUCAUUGUGGUUAAGAGCUUCUGCACAGCAAAAGAAACUACCAUCAGAGUGAACAGGCAACCUACAGAAUGGGAGAAAAUUUUUGCAAUCUACUCAUCUGACAAAGGGCUAAUAUCCAGAAUCUACAAUGAACUCCAACAAAUUUACAAGAAAAAAACAACCCCAUCAAAAGUGGGCAAAGGAUAUGAACAGACACUCUCAAAAGAAGACAUUUAUGCAGCCAAAAGACACAAGAAAAAAUGCUCAUCAUCACUGGCCAUCAGAGAAACGCAAAUCAGAAAAA